UACGGAGGGUGCAAGCGUUGUCCGGAAUUAUUGGGUGUAAAGGGUGCGCAGGCGGAAGCCUAAGUCGAGGGUGAAAGACAACCGCUCAACGGUUGCAGUGCCCCCGAUACUGGGUUUCUUGAGUACAGAAGAGGUUGGUGGAAUUCGUGGUGUAGCGGUGAAAUGCAUAGAGAUCACGAAGAACACCGGUGGCGAAGGCGGCCAACUGGUCUGGCACUGACGCUGAGGCACGAAAGCGUGGGGAGCGAACAGG
rnacentral:rRNA from 1 species